GGCCGGGUGGCGCAAUGGUAGCGCGCUGCCUUCCGGUUCCGGAAUGUGGCAGUGGUUGCGCGUUCGAGUCGCGUCUCGGUCG
rfam:Aspergillus oryzae RIB40 DNA, chromosome 1.